rnacentral:lncRNA from 10 species
AGGCUAUGACAAUCCAUGAGACUUCAGCCAAUGUGACAGAGGAAGAAGCUCAAGAGGAGCUUUGCCAAGGAACUUGCCCUCUUUUGCCGGGCCCGGAACCCUUCCAUCACAAAGAGUGCAAGCCCAUGCUAGCCUACUGGAUAAUGGGAGACAUGCGGCUUAUUCACUUCUGCAACCACAGCCAACAGCCAGCCAACCCCAAGGGUGGAACCACACACGCUGACCAGCAGCUGAUGGCCACCUCUUGUGUGAACCCAGCCAGGACCAGCAGAAGAACCUCCCAGCUGAGCCCAGCUCAACUUGCCAGACCACAGAUUCCCAAGUGAAAGAAGUUGUUCUUGGUUUAAGCCAUGGAGGAGUCUCAUGUGGUUUGUUAAACAGCAAAAACUAACUGAAUCACCAGAGGACCACUGAGAAGCUGAGGGAAGGUAACAUUUAUUAAACACCAACUGUAAUACAUGGCACAUUUCUCACAUGAUCUCAUUGAACACUCACAAAUUCCUCACAAGAAGAGAUUAAUUGCACCCAUACUACAGGUGAGAAAAACUGAGGCUCAGAGAGGGUCUUAAGCAAUUGGCUUAAGACCACAUGGCUAGGAGUUUGCAGAACCAGGUGCCUGACUCCAGGUCUGCCUGACUCCAAAGUCAUGAGUCUUCCAAGAGCCACAUCCUGCUCUACAAUCAUCCUAAGUCAGCAUGUUCAUAUCUGGGGCUGGCUUGCCCUUCCACAGUCUGUUUUCCAACGAUUUCCUAGCAUAUGCCCAUGGGUCCACCCAUCCCACCACCCAGCCAUUCGGUGGUUAUUUGUUGAGGCAAGAAAGCACAGCAGUUAAGCAUUCAGACUCAGGAAUCAGAGUCUGAUUCCAGCUCUGGCUCUUCCUGGCUGUGUGACCUUGGGCAAGUCAAUUCACCUCUCUGAGCUCAGCUUCCUCUUCAUUGAUAUGGAAAACAUGAUAUCUACUUCACUAAAUACUUUGCUUUUUCUGAACAAAGGGAAAAUAUAAAAAUUAGAAAGAAGAAUGGAUUCUUACUUGGGAUACCCGGGCCCCAACUCUGCCCUAAACUCAGUCUCUGACACUUCCUUUCGGAGGCCCUCAGUUUUCCCAUCUGUAUCCUGAGAGUAUGAACUUCAGACCUGUUUCCUCUCUUUCCACAGUUCUAUCACCUUAGGAUAACAAGCUCUUUCUUCCCCUUCAGCUUAAACUGACAUCAGCAUGGACCUCCCAACAAAUACAUUCAAUGCCAAGCAGGUUUUGAUAAUCCAAGGAAUGCUGCUAUUUAUUGACAGUGUCCACCCACCCCAUGAUAAAUUUGCAUUGGGGGCUGGAUUCAAAAAGAGGGAAAAAAAAGAAAGAAAGAGGGCUGUCUUUGAAGUGAAU